AUGGUGAGAAUGGCAAAAAUCUGCUCCAUGGGGCUGAGUUGGUUGUCAGAGGCCAAUUUAAAGGCUCUGCCCCAAACCACUGGUCGCCCCCACCCGGCUCGGCCAGCGGUAAACACAAGAGUCGGUUUGUCUUUUCCCCACCGGGCAGCGCACACGCCAAGCACGGGGUGGGGGGACGCCUGCCUCGUACCUGGGUACCUCAGGUUCAGGGUCACCGGCGCCAGCGAGGAUGCGCCGGCGGAAACCACGCGGGCCCCGGGGCUCCCCGGCUGCGGGCACACCUGGACGCCACGGCCGUCGCGGCCCCUCCUCGCCCGGCCCGGGUCCUCCUCGGGCUCCCCGCGGGCCGGGCGCGGAGCCGGGCGCGCACGCAGCCUCGGCCGAGGCAGCCCGAGGCGGGCUGAGAAAGUUCCUCCGCCUCGACGUCGCCGCCCCGGGGCCCCGCUCGCCCGGCUCGCCCCGCACGCCCCCCCCCGGGCCGGGCGCAAGGUCGCGGAGCCGGGCGGCGCGCGGAGCUCCGGCACCGUGGCCGGCGCAGGGGGGUGGGGAGAGGGGAGGAGGGACCCCCGCCGGCCGCGCCCCUCCCGCCCCCGGGCGCCCGCAGCCCGUACUCACCGCCCCUCGCUCGGGAUCCCCAGGUGGCGGCGGCCGAGGGCGGCGCGGCCCGAGCCGGAGCCGGAGCCGGGUGGCGGCGGGGCGGAGAGUCGGAGGACGGAGAGCCGCGGCGGCGGCGGCGGCGGCGGCGGCGGCGGCGGCGAGGCAGGUCCGGGAAGCGGAGAGGCGGCGGCGCCUCCUGCCCUCGCAGCGCAGCCCGGCCGGCCCGGCAGCCCCACAGCGCGAGCUGGGCGGUCGCGGCGGCGGGGGCUUUAUCGCCGCCCGCCCCGCACCCGCCCCUUCCUGCCGCCCCCGCCCCCGGCCCGCCCCGCCCCGCCUUCCCGCCGCCUCCUUUGUGUGCCAGCGGGCCGCAGCGUCCCCGCGCCCGCACGCCGGGACGCCCCCACUCCGGCCGCGGCCGCGCGGAGGCCGCCCCCCAGGGCUCCACGUCGCGGGGCUGCGCCCGGAACUCGCCGGAGGCCGCGCCGAGCCCGAGUGCGGAACCCGUGCCAGCAGGCCCACGGCCCCAACUGUGAGAAGGAAAUGUGGCGAAUCUAAGACACGGCCGUGAAAUGAGGUUGCGUCUACUGAUGAGAGCAACUUGGAUGAUCUACACUUGGUGUGUGGGCGGCCAUGCUAGACGGUGUGUGCCUGUCGGGGUGAAGGAGUCACUUUCAAAAGUGUGAAAUCUGGGCCAGCCUAAGGGUAUUCACAGCCUCUCUUAUAGAGAAAUAUGCUAGGGAAGGUUUGGCUCUUAAAAUAAAAAGGAAACACAGUCCA
rnacentral:lncRNA from 1 species